CUUAUCUCGGUGUGCCUCUUGGCAUAGGCCUCCUCUAGUGAUUUCCAUUGAGCUCUGUCCUGCGCAACUCUGGUCCACAGAUAUCCAGCUGACUGAUAUUCAUAUAA